UCUUCUUCCCCUCUAAUAACAGAAAUAAAACUUAUCGCUCCCACCACCACCAUCUUCAUCGUUCCCACCAUCACCACGAUUUUUGUCGCCACCACCACUAGCAACGUCAUCUCUAUCGUCUUAUAUGUGAAAAUUAGAUUAUACAUCAGUAAAGUUUCAGAUCUGAUUGGAAACCACCUCCACCACCAAUACUUCCAUCGAUCCCAACUCCAAUCCAACACCAACUCCAAAUUCUGCAUCACUUCUUAGUCACUAAUCAAUUUGCUCCAACACCGACGGUUCAUUCAGAUAUGGAACAUUUUGAAAUCCAGAACGCUGGUUGAAUUUUGAUUUCAUCCAUCUCCAUCUCUUUGUAAUUUGUAGUUGUUUGGAGCAUUAGUGUUAGUACUUGUUAGUGGGUGGAGGUGGAACAUGUGGAAUUGGUAAGUUGGUGGACUACCGUGUAGAGGGUGGAGUUUGGAGAUGGAGCGAUGAUUUAUUCUCUUAGGUUUCUUCAGGCGCACAUGGUUAUGAACCCCAAUUGACGAUGCAACUAGCAGAGCCUUGGUAUACUCAAGCUUUAUCAGAUUACUUAGAUUGUUCUACAUAUUUUAUCAAGGGUGUGGUUGUGAGAUUUCUCACAACUACAGGUAACCUAGCCAAGGGAGCCGAAGCGGAUGAGAGGCUGAGAUUGUGUCACAAGGGUUUUUUUUUUUUUUUUUCUUCUUGGAUUACCCUCCGGACUCUGUAAAUCCUUAGUGGUUAACUGGUUAUGUAGAUCCGUGAAUGACAUAUUGUUUUUUUAAAGUCUGGUUUUGUUUAGCAAUGUUCAUUGAAUUUCUAUAUAUAUUGAUUGCAUUUUGUUCAAGGUAAACCGUGCUCUGUUUUUCCCAUGCCUUCUUCCCGUGAUGAAGAAUGAUGGCCUAAAAAUAUAU